UACGUGAGGGGCGAACGUUGUUCGGUGUCACUGGGCUUAAAGGGUGCGUAGGUGGUUGUGUAAGUAACGUGUGAAAUCCCUCGGCUUACCCGGGGAAUUGCAUGUUAUACUGCAUGACUUGAGGACCAAAGGGGAAAAGGGAACUCCAGGUGUAGCGGUGAAAUGCGCAGAUAUCUGGGGGAAGGCCGGCGGCGAAGGCGCUUUUCUGGUUGGUACCUGACACUGAGGCACGAAAGCGUGGGGAGCAAACAGG
rnacentral:rRNA from 1 species